rnacentral:rRNA from 1 species
AUGGAUGCGGCGGGGAAGAGACCUGACGUACGAGGCGGGCGGGCGCAGAAGAGACCUGAGGUGCAAAGUGAUGCGGGGGAGAGAUCUGAGAAGCUGCGGGCGGAUCCGGAGGAGGGACCUGAGCUACAAGGGGCGGAUCCGGACGAGGGACCUCAUCUAUCAGCGGCGGAUACGGAGGAGACAUUGAGCAAUCUGUUUUCUGAGAAGCUGCGGGCGGAUCCGGAGGAGGGACCUGAGCUACGAGGGGCGGAUCCGGACGAGGGACCUCAUCUAUCAGCGGCGGAUGCGGAGGAGGUAUUGAGCAAUCUGUUUUCUGAGAAGCUGCGGAUUGAUCUGCAAAGGAAGGACAUGCCUCUGGAGAUGUUGAGAAACCUGAUAUCUGAGAUGCUAGCUGCGACACUAUUGAUAGAUGUUGGGGAGGAGGUACUUCAGCGGUGGCCGAGUAAUCCUCUGAGGAGGUAUUUUUUCCUCAGUAGUCGUAUGGGUGAGAAGAUGACAAGGAAACAGGUUCUCAUUGAGAUAGAGGCUCUCAGAAUAAUUGCAAGGUCCAGAGGUAUGCGACUGUCAAUGGAUCACGUUCUCAAAGAGGCAGAGGCUACUGUGGAAAUGGAGGAACAGGCUCUCAAGGAGAUUCAGACUACUGCCAGCGAAACAGUAGAGGAACAAGCUCUCAAGAUGAUUCAGGCUGUCAGGGAAAGAGUACAGGACGAGUUGAAGAAGAGCUCUCUGAAGAAAAAAGUACAGGACGAGUUGAAGAAGAGCUCUCUGAAGAAAAAGCCGAGGAGGCGAAAGGGUAAGAACAAGCUUCCGGAGGAGGCCCUCUCUGAACCAAAUGCUUACGAUCUUCAUCGAAAUUUCUGGAAUUCAAUGUUUGCUGGCCCACGAUAUGGUUGCUACGAGACCACAACUUCUACCCCUCCCAUGCGAUUCACUGAUGAUGUAUGUGACCUCGCUGGCCCACUUGAGACUCUUCAGAUUUUUUCAGUCAAAGUCGUUGGAGUAAAGAAGGGGAUAUCUUGGCCACUUAGUCUCUAUGGCAAGAUUGCGGCACGCGACACAGUUGAUCGCAAUCGCAAUAUCAUCUUUGAUUGUGAGAGGGAUAACUGUGAAAUCCUCUACGAGGAUAGUCCGUAUUUACCUCUCACCGGUCCUUCCUGUGCUGUUGUGUUGUCGGUACAUCAUUCAUAUAUCGAGGUUGAGUUAAAACUCAAGCUAGAUUCUGGUGAUGAAGAAUUCAGCUACGUAUCUGAUGCCUACAUCGAGAUUGUCCCUUUUAACUCCUUCGUCAUGCAACGAGAUUUGGCUGGCAGGCUUAGCACGUUGCAGCUAACUGUGGCCCACAUUAUUCAUUCCGUGGAGGCUACAAUUAGUGUCAAAGUCAAACAUGGGGAAUGGCCAUAUGGCCAUGGAGGCCUAUUUACUGCGUCUACUGCUAGCAUCAAUGACAUGGAAGUUGUGCUUCUUGGAUUUGAGGUUGAUGAGGUCCUACCUGUUAAGGAUGAUGGGCAUGUCAAGCUUUUUCGUCGCGUCGUUAGCGUUGAAAGCAAAGGAAAGCUCGAAGUCUUGGUGGAAGCAAACCCUGCCAAUGAUGAAGAGGAUGUAGUUAGCGACGACAUCUAUUUCACACCCAAGAGAUCUGGUAGGAGCCACCAAAUGCUCAAGGUUGGCUCUUGUGAGAUGGAGGUAACGGUGGCGUGGUCUCUCCUUUUGUCUUAUGGAUGA